AGAGUUUGAUCCUGGCUCAGAACGAACGCUGGCGGCGUGCCUAACACAUGCAAGUCGAACGAGAAAGCCCUUCGGGGUGAGUAGAGUGGCGAACGGGUGAGUAAUGCAUAGGAACGUACUCAUAGGCGGGGGAUAACUGCAGGAAACUGUGGCUAAUACCCCAUAAUCUAUACGUAGCAAAUGAUUGCCUCUACUUGUAAGCAAUCGCCUGUGAAUCGGCUUAUGUCCCAUUAGCUUGUUGGUAGGGUAACGGCUUACCAAGGCAACGAUGGGUAGCUGGUCUGAGAGGAUGGUCAGCCACACUGGGACUGAGACACGGCCCAGACUCCUACGGGAGGCAGCAGUGGGGAAUCUUGCACAAUGGGCGCAAGCCUGAUGCAGCAACGUCGCGUGAGUGAAGAAGGCUUUCGAGUUGUAAAGCUCUUUCAGCUGGGGGGAAGGGCACUGAGGCAAACAGUCUCGGUGCUUGACAUUACCAGUAGAAGAAGCACUGGCUAACUCCGUGCCAGCAGCCGCGGUAAUACGGAGAGUGCAAGCGUUGUUCGGAAUUACUGGCGUA
rnacentral:rRNA from 1 species